CAGAUUUUCAGAGAAUUGGUGACCCAUUUCUUAGACCCGCGACGAAGACCCGACAAUAUCUCCUCCGUCCGGCCAUUUAUAGACGGCGAACCACUGGCGCUAGGAUCGUCUCGACGUCUCGACGUCGCGACUUCUCAAAUUUGAAAACUGUAGAAAGCUGGAGGUUGGAAUAGCCAAGGUCGUGCACAUGAGGAAAAUCUCCCUCUGAUAACUAGACAAGGACUCCAGUUACCCAAAACAUGAAACGUGGUGGUGUUGGCCUAGGAAAGCAAAUGGAGUCAAAGCUGCAAUAUUCUAGUUGUGGAUGCAGGUACUGUGUACGGAGACGGGACAGCUGGACGAACGUUGAGCGUGGCUUGGUCACUUAAUUCCUUAAAUUGUGUCAUUGUCGGAGUUUGUUCCGUGUGACAGGUUCCCGAUUUUCCCUAGUUUUGCAUAACUCAUUUGAAGAGUUCUGAAUUGUGCGUAAAUUGUAUCUCUUCUGAAAUCUUGGACUUUCGACUAUGAACCGGACAAAUAUUCGUGUAUUGUUGUUUCCGGUUUUGAAUGAUUGGUGCUCGUUUUAUUAGAACUUUUAACAUUUUAACCUCA